AUGGUCCUCCUCUGUCUCUUCCUCGCCAGCUUGGCUGCCACCCCUCAGGCUGGGGUCACUGGGGCAUGGCCCACCAGCGGCCUCUCCAUUCUGGCCCAGCUCCAGCCGUCCUGUGAGCUCAAGUGGACUCAACUUUCCAGGUCGUCCUGGAGAGAUCUGGUCAUGACCACAUCACUCUGGAUUCUGGUGCAUUUCCAGCAUUUUUCCCAGGAGACCACAACUCAGGAGCAGCCGAUGAGAUGGAAGAGAUCACCAGAGAGAGCCAGGGAGGGAGGCAGGACUUCCACGCCCUCUCCUGUCCCAUCGCCUCCCCAAGAGACAGAGUCCUGCUCUGUUGUCCAGGCUGGAGAGCAAUGGUGCCGUCAUAG